rnacentral:rRNA from 1 species
CCCCUGGAUGCUCUUGUUACGACUUAGUCCUAAUUACCGAUCCCACCUUCGACAGCUCCCUCCACAAGGGUUGGGCCACCGGCUUCAGGUGUUACCGACUUUCAUGACUUGACGGGCGGUGUGUACAAGACCCGGGAACGUAUUCACCGCAGCGUUGCUGAUCUGCGAUUACUAGCGACUCCGACUUCAUGAGGUCGAGUUGCAGACCUCAAUCCGAACUGGGACCGGCUUUUUGGGAUUCGCUCCACCUCACGGUAUUGCAGCCCUUUGUACCGGCCAUUGUAGCAUGCGUGAAGCCCAAGACAUAAGGGGCAUGAUGAUUUGACGUCAUCCCCACCUUCCUCCGAGUUGACCCCGGCAGUAUCCCAUGAGUUCCCACCAUUACGUGCUGGCAACAUAGAACGAGGGUUGCGCUCGUUGCGGGACUUAACCCAACAUCUCACGACACGAGCUGACGACAACCAUGCACCACCUGUUCACCAGUGUCCAAAGAGUUCCCUAUUUCUAGGGCGUUCUGGUGUAUGUCAAGCCUUGGUAAGG